rnacentral:rRNA from 1 species
UACGUAGGGUGCGAGCGUUAAUCGGAAUUACUGGGCGUAAAGCGCGUGUAGGCGGGUCUUUAAGUCAGGGGUGAAAUGCCAAGGCUCAACCUUGGAACUGCCUUUGAUACUGGAGACCUUGAGUCCGGGAGAGGUGAGUGGAAUUGCGAGUGUAGAGGUGAAAUUCGUAGAUAUUCGCAAGAACACCAGUGGCGAAGGCGGCUCACUGGCCCGGAACUGACGCUGAGACGCGAAAGCGUGGGGAGCAAACAGG